rnacentral:rRNA from 1 species
UACGUAGGGUGCAAGCGUUGUCCGGAAUUAUUGGGCGUAAAGAGCUCGUAGGCGGUUUGUCGCGUCUGCUGUGAAAACCCGAGGCUCAACCUCGGGCCUGCAGUGGGUACGGGCAGACUAGAGUGCGGUAGGGGGAGAUUGGAAUUCCUGGUGUAGCGGUGAAAUGCGCAGAUAUCAGGAGGAACACCGGUGGCGAAGGCGGGACUCUGGGCCGAUACUGACGCUGAGGAGCGAAAGCGUGGGGAGCAAACAGG